GGUUUGUGGCUCAAUGGUAUAGCACUUGCCUGGCAUGUGUGAGGUGCUGAGUUCGAUCCUCAGCACCA
rnacentral:tRNA from 1 species